GCCGACGUAGCUCAGCUGGUAGAGCAACGCAUUCGUAAUGCGUGGGUCGCCGGUUCGAUUCCGGCCGUCGGCU
rnacentral:tRNA from 1 species